UACGUAGGGUGCGAGCGUUGUCCGGAAUUAUUGGGCGUAAAGAGCUCGUAGGCGGCCUGUCGCGUCGGAUGUGAAAGCCCGGGGCUUAACCCCGGGUCUGCAUUCGAUACGGGCAGGCUAGAGUGUGGUAGGGGAGAUCGGAAUUCCUGGUGUGGCGGUGAAAUGCGCAGAUAUCAGGAGGAACACCGGUGGCGAAGGCGGCUUUCCGGGCCUUACCUGACGCUGAGGAGCGAAAGCUGGGGGAGCAAACAGG
rnacentral:rRNA from 1 species